GGGGAGCGAACAGGAUUAGAUACCAUGGUAGUACACGACGCAAACGAUGAGUGCUAAGUGUUAGGGGAUUUCCGCCCCUUAGUGCUGCAGCUAACGCAUUAAGCACUCCGCCUGGGGAGUACGGUAGCAAGACUGAAACUCAAAGGAAUUGACGGGGGCCCGCACAAGCGGUGGAGCAUGUGGUUUAAUUAGAAGCAACGCGAAGAACCUUACCAGGUCUUGACAUCCUCUGACAACCCUAGAGAUAGGGCUUUCCCUUCGGGGACAGAGUGACAGGUGGUGCAUGGUUGUCGUCAGCUCGUGUCGUGAGAUGUUGGGUUAAGUCCCGCAACGAGCGCAACCCUUGAUCUUAGUUGCCAGCAUUCAGUUGGGCACUCUAAGGUGACUGCCGGUGACAAACCGGAGGAAGGUGGGGAUGACGUCAAAUCAUCAUGCCCCUUAUGACCUGGGCUACACACGUGCUACAAUGGACAGAACAAAGGGCUGCAAGACCGCAAGGUUUAGCCAAUCCCAUAAAUCUGUUCUCAGUUCGGAUCGCAGUCUGCAACUCGACUGCGUGAAGCUGGAAUCGCUAGUAAUCGCGGAUCAGCAUGCCGCGGUGAAUACGUUCCCGGGCCUUGUACACACCGCCCGUCACACCACGAGAGUUUGCAACACCCGAAGUCGGUGAGGUAACCUUUAUGGAGCCAGCCGCCGAAAGGAA
rnacentral:rRNA from 1 species